rnacentral:rRNA from 1 species
GACGGGGGGGGCUAGUGUUAUUCGGAAUGACUAGGCGUAAAGGGCACGUAGGCGGUGAAUCCGGUUGAAAGUGAAAGUCGCCAGCUCAACUGGCGGAAUGCUUUCGAAACCAAUUCACUUGAGUAAGAUAGAGGAUAGUGGAAUUUCGUGUGUAGAGAUAAAAUUCACAGAUAUACGAAGGAACACCAAAAGCGAAGGCAGCUUUCUGGGUCUCUACUGACGCUGAGGUGCGAAAGCAUAGGGAGCAAACAGG